AACGAGAAGGCAAAACAGAAAUGUAUCAACAAUCUGAGGCAUAAUUUGCUAUAUAAACCGAGCUAAAUCAACGAGGUGGCCAGAUUUGUUUUGCACUUGUGAAAAAUGUUUAUUACGUCAAAAAUUCCAUUACUGCUUCUCGCGGUAGUGCCCCUCGUCUAUGCUAAUUGUGGACAAUAUCAACAAGAAGUACCAAGAAUUAGACAGCCAUUACAUCAGGGAUGUCAAGAUUACGAUAUACGCAUCAGACACGGAUACAUGUACUAUAAUUGCAAGAGUUUCAGCCAGAAAAUGGGUUCUUGUCCAACUAACACCACCGAAUUUGAUCUGACGGUCGACGGAUAUGAUGAUAUAAAAUGCGUGGGCGAUUGGUAUUGUCCGCCUGGUUUCAAAUGUUGCCCCGAAGACACCGCAAAACCGUAUCAUAUUUGCAAGAAAGCUAUUUUAGAAGUCGAAAAAAAGAAAACAAAUGGCAAAAAUCAUAAUGAUAUAAAAAAUGGUAAUGGUAAUGACAACAAAAAUGGCAAUGGCCCAACAAUUACACCACCACCAACCACUGCACCACCUCCAACAUCACCUAGACCAAAUGUCGUUUGAUAAUCUGUAUAAAAUCCAAUAAUAGUGAAUUGUUGAAAAACUAUUUUUAAUUCAGCAUUAAACGCCCCACCAAAUACGUCUGCUGAUUACAUUUCAAGGAUUUUAAUAAUAAUACUUACUUGUCCUAGAUUGCAUUUAGCAAAUAUUUGUAUUAAAUGUUUGAAAAUUA